UUGCUGGAUCAAACCAGGUAGCACUCCUCACGGACACCGGGCCGCAAGACGCACACGUCGUUGCGGCGCCUAGCGUCUUUCGAAUGCGGCGUUCGACGCCAAUUUGUGGGCAAACAGGGGUCGAGGACCCCCUGCCCGCAGCAUUUUCUGCAUCCCGGGGGACAAGCGAGGGCUCGUGGGCCGCCACGACGACGCCGUUCGCGAGCGUAGCGGAACACGGGUCUCGCUUCGUGGUUCGCCCGUAGCCGCGCCGUGCGAACGGGCAGCGCUAGGCGAACGCGGGAAGGAUUGGCCAACGAAAUUCCGUCUGUGUAGCAAUGCAACACAGGAAACCGACGACAGCGGACAAGGCGAACAGCUCUUGUGCCGACGACUGAAGAGGAACGCACGGGAGGACGUCCCUGCCCGAGCAGGGAUCCAACCAACCCAUACAAGA
rnacentral:misc_RNA from 1 species